GGAUCAAUAUGUUGGUCGUGCCUUGGUACGUACUAGCUUAUUGAUUUCUCCCUUCUGACGAACCAUGAUGUCAUUAAUUUGGUGUCAUGGGGAAUUAGGACUGUUACUUUGAAAAAUUAGAGUGUUUAAAGCAGGCUCACGCUUGAAUACAUUAGCAUGGAAUAAUGAAAUAGGACAUUUGAUUCUAUUUUGUGGUUUCUAGGAUCGAUGUAAUGAUUAAUA
rnacentral:rRNA from 1 species